CUACGGGUGGCUCCAGUGGGGAAUAUUGGACAAUGGGGGAAACCCUGAUCCAGCAAUGCCGCGUGUGUGAAGAAGGCCUGCGGGUUGUAAAGCACUUUCGGUUGGGAGGACUGCUUCUAGCACUAAUAUUGUUGGAAGUUGACGUUACCUUCAGAAGAAGCACCGGCUAACUCCGUGCCAGCAGCCGCGGUAAUACGGAGGGUGCAAGCGUUAAUCGGAAUUACUGGGCGUAAAGCGCGCGUAGGCGGCUAGAUCAGUCGGGGGUGAAAGCCCCGGGCUUAACCUGGGAACGGCAUCCGAUACUGGCUAGCUUGAGUACAGGAGAGGAGAGUGGAAUUCCACAUGUAGCGGUGAAAUGCGUAGAUAUGUGGAGGAACACCAAUGGCGAAGGCAGCUCUCUGGCCUGAUACUGACGCUGAGGUGCGAAAGCGUGGGGAUCAAACAGGAUUAGAUACCCUCGUAGUC
rnacentral:rRNA from 1 species